rnacentral:rRNA from 1 species
GUGUCAGCAGCCGCGGUAAUACAGAGGUCCCAAGCGUUGUUCGGAUUCACUGGGCGUAAAGGGUGCGCAGGUGGUCGGGUAAGUCUGAUGUGAAAUCUCCGAGCUCAACUCGGAAAUGGCAUUGGAUACUAUUCGGCUAGAGGGUUGGAGGGGGGACUGGAAUUCUCGGUGUAGCAGUGAAAUGCGUAGAUAUCGAGAGGAACACCAGUGGCGAAGGCGAGUCCCUGGACAACUCCUGACGCUGAGGCACGAAAGCUAGGGGAGCAAACAGGAUUAGAAACCCGCGUAGUCC